rnacentral:misc_RNA from 1 species
GAUGAAGAACGUAGCGAAAUGCGAUACUUGGUGUGAAUUGCAGAAUCCCGUGAACCAUCGAGUCUUUGAACGCAAGUUGCGCCCGAAGCCAUUAGGCCGAGGGCACGCCUGCCUGGGCGUCAUACGUCGUUGCCCCCCCAUCUACUCCUUCGGGAUUGCGGGGGGCGGAUGAUGGCCUCCCGUGCGCCUCGUCGCGCGGUUGGCAUAAAUGCCAAGUCCUCGGCGACGCACGCCACGACAAUCGGUGGUUGCGAAACCUCGGUUGCCCGUCGUGUGCGGUCGUCGCGCAUCGAGGGCUCGAAAAAAUUGCCGGGCUCCGGCUCGGCUUUCAACGCGACCCCAGGUCAGGCGGGGUUACCCGCUGAAUUUAAGCAUAUCAAUAAGCGGAGGA